rnacentral:rRNA from 1 species
GAUGAACGCUAGCGGAAGGCAUAAUACAUGCAAGUCGAACGGAUGUAGCAAUACAUUAGUGGCGCACGGGUGCGUAACGCGUAUGCAACCUACCUUCAUCAGGGGGAUAACUACUCGAAAGGGUGGCUAACACCGCAUAAUACUACUGAAUGGCAUCAUUUGGUAUUUAAAUCUGAGGAGGAUGAAGAUGGGCAUGCGUCUGAUUAGCUAGUUGGUGUGGUAACGGCGCACCAAGGCGACGAUCAGUAGGGGAACUGAGAGGUUGGUCCCCCACACUGGCACUGAGAUACGGGCCAGACUCCUACGGGAGGCAGCAGUAGGGAAUAUUGGUCAAUGGUGGGAACACUGAACCAGCCAUUCCGCGUGCAGGAAGAAGGGUCUCUGACUUGUAAACUGCUUUAGCAAGGGAAGAAAAAGCUCAUGCGUGAGAAAUUGACGGUACCUUGAGAAUAAGCACCGGCUAACUACGUGCCAGCCGCCGCCGUAACAC